CCCUAGUAACGGCGAGUGAAGCGGGAAGAGCUCAAAUUUAAAAUCUGGCAAUCUUUGGUUGUCCGAAUUGUAAUCUAGAGAAGCGUUUUCCGUGCUGGACUGUGUACAAGUUUCCUGGAUACGGAACAUCAUAGAGGGUGAGAAUCCCGUCCUUGACACAGACUCCCAGCACUUUUGUGAUGCGCUCUCGACGAGUCGAGUUGUUUGGGAUUGCAGCUCAAAAUGGGAGGUAAAUUCCUUCUAAAGCUAAAUAUUGGCGAGAGACCGAUAGCGAACAAGUACCGUGAGGGAAAGAUGAAAAGCACUUUGGAAAGAGAGUUAAACAGUACGUGAAAUUGUUAAAAGGGAAACGCUUGAAGUCAGUCACGUUUGCUUGGACUCAGCCUUACUUCGGUUUGGUGCAUUUCCUUGCAGACGGGCCAGCGUCCAUGUCAAUUGCCGGAAAAGGGGUGAGAGAAUGUGGCUCCUUUGGGAGUGUUAUAGCUCUCACUCGUAUGCGGGGAAUGAUAUGGAGUGGUACAGCACACUUCGGUGGUGCUUGUGCUGGCAUAAUGGCUUUAAACGACCCGUCUUGAAACACGGACCAAGGAGUCUAACAUGUCUGCGAGUAUUUGGGUGGAAAACCCAGGUGCGUAAUGAAAGUGACAGCUGGGAACCCCUUCUGGGAGGCACCGGCACCCCGAGCUGACCUUCUGUGACGCAUCGGAGGCAGAGCAUAUAUGUUGGGACCCGAAAGAUGGUGAACUAUGCCUGAAUAGGGCGAAGCCAGAGGAAACUCUGGUGGAGGCUCGUAGCGAUUCUGACGUGCAAAUCGAUCGUCAAAUUUGGGUAUAGGGGCGAAAGACUAAUCGAACCAUCUAGUAGCUGGUU
rnacentral:rRNA from 1 species